UUUUAUGGAGAGUUUGAUCCUGGCUCAGAGUGAACGCUGGCGGCGUGCCUAAUACAUGCAAGUCGAACGAUGAAGCUUCUAGCUUGCUAGAAUGCUGAUUAGUGGCGCACGGGUGAGUAACGCAUAGGUCAUGUGCCUCUUAGUUUGGGAUAGCCAUUGGAAACGAUGAUUAAUACCAGAUACUCCCUACGGGGGAAAGAUUUAUCGCUAAGAGAUCAGCCUAUGUCCUAUCAGCUUGUUGGUAAGGUAAUGGCUUACCAAGGCUAUGACGGGUAUCCGGCCUGAGAGGGUGAACGGACACACUGGAACUGAGACACGGUCCAGACUCCUACGGGAGGCAGCAGUAGGGAAUAUUGCUCAAUGGGGGAAACCCUGAAGCAGCAACGCCGCGUGGAGGAUGAAGGUUUUAGGAUUGUAAACUCCUUUUGUUAGAGAAGAUAAUGACGGUAUCUAACGAAUAAGCACCGGCUAACUCCGUGCCAGCAGCCGCGGUAAUACGGAGGGUGCAAGCGUUACUCGGAAUCACUGGGCGUAAAGAGCGCGUAGGCAGGAUAGUCAGUCAGGUGUGAAAUCCUAUGGCUUAACCAUAGAACUGCAUUUGAAACUACUAUUCUAGAGUGUGGGAGAGGUAGGUGGAAUUCUUGGUGUAGGGGUAAAAUCCGUAGAGAUCAAGAGGAAUACUCAUUGCGAAGGCGACCUGCUGGAACAUUACUGACGCUGAUUGCGCGAAAGCGUGGGGAGCAAACAGGAUUAGAUACCCUGGUAGUCCACGCCCUAAACGAUGGAUGCUAGUUGUUGGAGGGCUUAGUCUCUCCAGUAAUGCAGCUAACGCAUUAAGCAUCCCGCCUGGGGAGUACGGUCGCAAGAUUAAAACUCAAAGGAAUAGACGGGGACCCGCACAAGCGGUGGAGCAUGUGGUUUAAUUCGAAGAUACACGAAGAACCUUACCUAGGCUUGACAUUGAGAGAAUCCGCUAGAAAUAGUGGAGUGUCUAGCUUGCUAGACCUUGAAAACAGGUGCUGCACGGCUGUCGUCAGCUCGUGUCGUGAGAUGUUGGGUUAAGUCCCGCAACGAGCGCAACCCCCUUUCUUAGUUGCUAACAGGUCAUGCUGAGAACUCUAAGGAUACUGCCUCCGUAAGGAGGAGGAAGGUGGGGACGACGUCAAGUCAUCAUGGCCCUUACGCCUAGGGCUACACACGUGCUACAAUGGGGUGUACAAAGAGAAGCAAUACUGCGAAGUGGAGCCAAUCUUCAAAACGCCUCUCAGUUCGGAUUGUAGGCUGCAACUCGCCUGCAUGAAGCUGGAAUCGCUAGUAAUCGCAAAUCAGCCAUGUUGCGGUGAAUACGUUCCCGGGUCUUGUACUCACCGCCCGUCACACCAUGGGAGUUGUGUUUGCCUUAAGUCAGGAUGCUAAAUUAGCUACUGCCCACGGCACACACAGCGACUGGGGUGAAGUCGUAACAAGGUAACCGUAGGUGAACCUGCGGUUGGAUCACCUCCUUUCUAGA
rnacentral:rRNA from 1 species